CAACACACCUUUCUUCACAAUCCCUGAUAUGUACAUACUUCCUUUGAUAAAGUCCUUGAGUUUUAAUUGCUCUUUGCUGAAAUAGCUGACGAUUAGGUUUUUUGUGUUAUCUGUUCGUUAUUUGGUAGUUAUUUGGAAAAUGGCUCAGGUUCAGCCCCCUGCAGGAGGACCUCACAAUGUCCUGGUCACACAGCCUGUCCCCGCAACGGUGGUCGUGUCUCAGCCUCCUCAGAGGGACUGGAUGGUUCCCGCUAUACUCACCUAUUUGUGUUGCUUCUGGCCGAUCGGAAUUGAAGUUAUUUAUUCUGUAU